AUGUUGGAAAGGUUUACCAGGAUUCUUAAUGAAGUGCAAAACUGUUUGCCAAAGAUCAAGGAGGACAUUAUUAACUGAACCUGAACUGGCAGCUCCCGAGAUCUGAGAAGAUUUAUUUCGUAGGGGGAACCUUAAUAAACUGAAGCAUCCAGAGGAGAAACCAAAAUGGUGGAGAGUUUGGAAGUCUGGUCCUUCCAGGGAGCUGAACGCCCAGAGGAUGUUGCGCUGGAGAAAGCUGGAGAGAGUGAUGGUCCCUGAAUCCAGGGCAGGGUAGGUUGUCCAGCAGAGGACAGUGGAGGAGUGUUGACCUUCCCAGAGGAGAGGAAACCAACCUUCUGUUCCCAGAAGAGAUUUUUCAAGAGAAACCAGAUAAGGAAAAUCUAUUUCUAUUGCUAAUGGUUCAUGUUAAACAUUACACCUCCAGGCAAAAAAACAAAACAUCUCUACAAGCCACAGCAUCUACUAGACAACUGUGAUGGAAACUGCAGAACCAUUCGAAUUUAGCAUUCUGAGCAACAUAAACGACUGGUUUGUAAUGAUUUGAGCAGCUCGAAAUGGGCAGGGUCUUACUGGCUGUGGGGUGGGAGAGUGAGCUCUCCUCUCAUUAGGGAUGUUUAAGCAUAAGGAUACUAAACAAAUAAUGCUGAAAUGUUGGAUGGGGUGACUUUGGAUCAAACCCACUCUUUAAAAUGAAAAUGCCUGGAUCUGACCCCAGAGAGUCCUACAGCAGGUGUGUGGCAAGGCCAGACAUCUGUGUAUCCUAGGAAUCCAGUGGUUCUGAUGGGAAGACAAGAGCUGAACACGUUCCAUUUGACGACCAUCAAGACCUGAAAGGACCACCAUCCUCCUGAAAAACAAAAAACAAA